UACGUAGGGUGCGAGCGUUGCCCGGAUUUAUUGGGCGUAAAGGGCGCGUAGGCGGCUCGAUAAGCGUGUGGUGAAAGCCUGGGGCUCAACCCCGGGUCGGCCAUGCGAACUGUCGAGCUGGAGCACUGUAGAGGCAGGCGGAAUUCCGGGUGUAGCGGUGGAAUGCGUAGAGAUCCGGAAGAACACCGGUGGCGAAGGCGGCCUGCUGGGCAGUAGCUGACGCUGAGGCGCGACAGCGUGGGGAGCAAACAGG
rnacentral:rRNA from 1 species